rnacentral:rRNA from 1 species
CAGUAGCCGCGGUAAUACGAAGGGUGCAAGCGUUAAUCGGAAUUAUUGGGCGUAAAUGGCUCGCAGGCGGUUUCUUAAGUCUGAUGUGAAAGCCCCCGGCUCAACCGGGGAGGGUCAUUGGAAACUGGGAAACUUGAGUGCAGAAGAGGAGAGUGGAAUUCCACGUGUAGCGGUGAAAUGCGUAGAGAUGUGGAGGAACACCAGUGGCGAAGGCGACUCUCUGGUCUGUAACUGACGCUGAGGAGCGAAAGCGUGGGGAGCGAACAGGAUUAGAGACCCCUGUAUCCCUGUCUCUUAUACA